rnacentral:tRNA from 1 species
GUGCUAGUAGUAUAAUGUUGUGAAGUGUGCUGUCUUUCCAAGUCAGAGGUCCAGGUUUGGCUAGUAUA